CUGGGUUUCAAAGGCAUCAUGCCUUCCACCCGCCCUCUGUCAUUUACAACGGUAUUGCUUCGGCCGCUGGCUCCCCCUCAUGCGAUGCUCUUCGAGCACCGGGUGAGGUCGUCACGGUCGGUCUUCCAAUUCUUCAAGGAAUGUAUGUCGUCUGAUGCAAAUGCAAAAACGAAAAGCA
rnacentral:misc_RNA from 1 species